AAAAAAAUGUACAAGGUCUCCGUAGGUGAACCUGCGGAGGGAUCAUUA
rnacentral:rRNA from 1 species